UACGGAGGGGGCUAGCGUUGUCCGAAGUUACUGGGCGUAAAGCGCGCGUUAGGCGGGUUGGUAAGUCCGCUGUGAAAGCCCGGAGCUCAACUCCGGAGGGUCGGUGGAUACUGCCAGUCUUGAAGGUGCUAGGGGGGAGAUGGAAUUACCCGGUGUAGCGGUGAAAUGCGUAGAUAUCGGUAGGAACACCAGUGGCGAAGGCGGUCUCCUGGGGCAUUCUUGACGCUGAGGCGCGAAAGCUGGGGGGAGCAAACGGG
rnacentral:rRNA from 1 species